UACGAGGGGUGCAAGCGUUAUUCGGAUUAACUGGGCGUAAAGAGUGUGUAGGUGGUAAAUCAAGUCUGUUGUUAAAUCCUUCAGCUUAACUGAAGGUUCGCGGUGGAUACUGAUUUACUAGAGUGUGGAAGAGAGAAGUGGAAUUCUCGGAGUAGCGGUAAAAUGCGUAGAUCUCGAGAGGAACACCAAUGGCGAAGGCAGCUUCUUGGUCCACAACUGACACUGAGACACGAAAGCGUGGGGAGCAAACAGG
rnacentral:misc_RNA from 1 species